rnacentral:rRNA from 1 species
GUGGGGAAUUUUGGACAAUGGGCGAAAGCCUGAUCCAGCAAUGCCGCGUGCAGGAUGAAGGCCCUCGGGUUGUAAACUGCUUUUGUACGGAACGAAAAGCCUGGGGCUAAUAUCCCCGGGUCAUGACGGUACCGUAAGAAUAAGCACCGGCUAACUACGUGCCAGCAGCCGCGGUAAUACGUAGGGUGCAAGCGUUAAUCGGAAUUACUGGGCGUAAAGCGUGCGCAGGCGGUUUUGUAAGACAGUGGUGAAAUCCCCGGGCUCAACCUGGGAACUGCCAUUGGGACUGCAAGGCUAGAGUGCGGCAGAGGGGGAUGGAAUUCCGCGUGUAGCAGUGAAAUGCGUAGAUAUGCGGAGGAACACCGAUGGCGAAGGCAAUCCCCUGGGCCUGCACUGACGCUCAUGCACGAAAGCGUGGGGAGCAAACAGGAUUAGAUACCCUAGUAGUCC